rnacentral:rRNA from 1 species
CAUGCAAGUCGAACGGAAAGGCCCUUCGGGGUGCUCGAGUGGCGAACGGGUGAGUAACACGUGGGUGAUCUGCCCUGCACUUUGGGAUAAGCCUGGGAAACUGGGUCUAAUACCGAAUAGGACCACGGCAUUCAUGUGCUGUGGUGGAAAGCUUUUGCGGUGUGGGAUGGGCCCGCGGCCUAUCAGCUUGUUGGUGGGGUAAUGGCCUACCAAGGCGACGACGGGUAGCCGGCCUGAGAGGGUGACCGGCCACACUGGGACUGAGAUACGGCCCAGACUCCUACGGGAGGCAGCAGUGGGGAAUAUUGCACAAUGGGCGCAAGCCUGAUGCAGCGACGCCGCGUGAGGGAUGACGGCCUUCGGGUUGUAAACCUCUUUCAGUACCGACGAAGCGCGAGUGACGGUAGGUACAGAAGAAGGACCGGCCAACUACGUGCCAGCAGCCGCGGUAAUACGUAGGGUCCGAGCGUUGUCCGGAAUUACUGGGCGUAAAGAGCUCGUAGGUGGUUUGUCGCGUUGUUCGUGAAAACUCACAGCUUAACUGUGGGCGUGCGGGCGAUACGGGCAGACUGGAGUACUGCAGGGGAGACUGGAAUUCCUGGUGUAGCGGUGGAAUGCGCAGAUAUCAGGAGGAACACCGGUGGCGAAGGCGGGUCUCUGGGCAGUAACUGACGCUGAGGAGCGAAAGCGUGGGGAGCGAACAGGAUUAGAUACCCUGGUAGUCCACGCCGUAAACGGUGGGUACUAGGUGUGGGUUUCCUUCCUUGGGAUCCGUGCCGUAGCUAACGCAUUAAGUACCCCGCCUGGGGAGUACGGCCGCAAGGCUAAAACUCAAAGGAAUUGACGGGGGCCCGCACAAGCGGCGGAGCAUGUGGAUU